UGGGGAAUAUUGCACAAUGGGCGCAAGCCUGAUGCAGCAACGCCGCGUGAGGGACGACGGCCUUCGGGUUGUAAACCUCUUUUGGCAGGGAAGAAGCGAAAGUGACGGUACCUGCAGAAAAAGCACCGGCUAACUACGUGCCGGCAGCCGCGGUGAUACGUAGGGUGCAAGCGUUGUCCGGAAUUAUUGGGCGUAAAGAGCUCGUAGGCGGUUUGUCGCGUCUGCUGUGAAAACCCGAGGCUCAACCUCGGGCCUGCAGUGGGUACGGGCAAACUAGAGUGCGGUAGGGGAGAUUGGAAUUCCUGGUGUAGCGGUGGAAUGCGCAGAUAUCAGGAGGAACACCGAUGGCGAAGGCAGAUCUCUGGGCCGUAACUGACGCUGAGGAGCGAAAGCAUGGGGAGCGAACA
rnacentral:rRNA from 1 species